GAAUGACAUGCAGUAAAAGGCCUGCACAGCAUUCAAACCAGGGCCGCUGUGGUAAGGACUCAGCCUUGACACAUGGUACGUACUCAGCCAGUUAACUCAGCUCUAAAUGGACAACAAUAGAGUUUAGAGCUGUUGUUGCUACAAAGGUCAUCAUCACCAAGUCCAUCGGUACGUGGUGUGGGCAGAUCUUUUUCUCAGGAAAGGAAGGGAAAGGUUUUCCGGAAGGACUUUUGGAAGCUGGCUCCCAUGAAACCAUAAACGAUGGGGUUGACUGAGGAGUUGGCGUAAGACAUGCAGUUGGCC